rnacentral:rRNA from 1 species
UACGGAGGAUGCGAGCGUUAUCCGGAUUUACUGGGUGUAAAGGGAGCGUAGACGGCGAUGCAAGCCAGAUGUGAAAGCCCGGGGCUCAACCCCGGGACUGCAUUUGGAACUGUGUGGCUGGAGUGUCGGAGAGGCAGGCGGAAUUCCUGGUGUAGCGGUGAAAUGCGUAGAUAUCAGGAGGAACACCAGUGGCGAAGGCGGCUUACUGGACUGUAACUGACGUUGAGGCUCGAAAGCGUGGGGAGCAAACAGG